GGCCCCGUAGCUCAACCGGAUAGAGCACCUGCCUUCUAAGCAGGUUGUUGCGUGUUCGAGUCACGCCGGGGUCGCCA
rnacentral:tRNA from 3 species